UACAGGGGGUGCAAACGUUGCUCGGAAUUAUUGGGCGUAAAGCGCGCGUAGGCGGCUACUUAAGUCGGAUGUGAAAGCCCUUGGCUCAACUGAGGAAGUGCACCCGAAACUGAGUGGCUUGAGUACUAAAGAGGGUCGCGGAAUUCCCGGUGUAGAGGUGAAAUUCGUAGAUAUCGGGAGGAACACCGGUGGCGAAGGCAGCCUCCUGGGCCAACACUGACGCUCAGGCACGAAAGCGUGGGGAGCAAACAGG
rnacentral:rRNA from 1 species